rnacentral:rRNA from 1 species
GGAGUUUGAUCAUGGCUCAGAUUGAACGUUGGCGGCAGGCUUAACACAUGCAAGUCGAACGAGAAAGUGCCUUCGGGCGCGAGUAAAGUGGCGGACGGGUGAGUAACGCGUAGGAAUCUACCUUCAGGUGGGGGACAACUCGGGGAAACCCGAGCUAAUACCGCAUAACAUCUAAGGAUCAAAGCGGGGGAUCUUCGGACCUCGCGCCGGAAGAGGAGCCUGCGUUAGAUUAGCUAGUUGGUGGGGUAAAGGCCUACCAAGGCGACGAUCUAUAGCUGGUCUGAGAGGACGAUCAGCCACACUGGAACUGAGACACGGUCCAGACUCCUACGGGAGGCAGCAGUGGGGAAUCUUGGGCAAUGGGCGAAAGCCUGACCCAGCCAUGCCGCGUGUGUGAAGAAGGCCUUCGGGUUGUAAAGCACUUUCAGUCGUAAAGAAACGCUUCAGGCCAAUACCUUGAAGCUUUGACGUUAGCGACAGAAGAAGCACCGGCUAACUCCGUGCCAGCAGCCGCGGUAAUACGGAGGGUGCAAACGUUAAUCGGAAUUACUGGGCGUAAAGCGCGCGUAGGCGGUUUGGUAAGUGGAUGUGAAAGCCCCGGGCUUAACCUGGGAACUGCAUUCCAAACUGCCAAGCUAGAGUUUGGUAGAGGGAGGUGGAAUUUCCUGUGUAGCGGUGAAAUGCGUAGAUAUAGGAAGGAACACCAGUGGCGAAGGCGGCCUCCUGGACCAAAACUGACGCUGAGGUUCGAAAGCGUGGGGAGCGAACAGGAUUAGAUACCCUGGUAGUCCACGCCGUAAACUAUGAGAACUAGCCGUUGGAGCCCUUGAGGCUUUGGUGGCGAAGCUAACGCGAUAAGUUCUCCGCCUGGGGAGUACGGCCGCAAGGUUAAAACUCAAAUGAAUUGACGGGGGCCCGCACAAGCGGUGGAACGUGUUGUUUAAUUCGAUGCAACGCGAAGAACCUUACCACCCCUUGACAUCCUCAGAACUUUCCAGAGAUGGAUUGGUGCCUUCGGGAACUGAGAGACAGGUGCUGCAUGGCUGUCGUCAGCUCGUGUCGUGAGAUGUUGGGUUAAGUCCCGUAACGAGCGCAACCCUUGUCCUUAAUUGCCAGCGGGUAAAGCCGGGAACUUUAAGGAGACUGCCGGUGACAAACCGGAGGAAGGUGGGGACGACGUCAAGUCAUCAUGGCCCUCACGGGGUGGGCUACAAACGUGCUACAAUGGGGAGUACAGAGGGCUGCAAUACCGCGAGGUGGAGCGAAUCCCAGAAAACUUCUCGUAGUCCGGAUUGGAGUCUGCAACUCGACUCCAUGAAGUCGGAAUCGCUAGUAAUCGCGAAUCAGAAUGUCGCGGUGAAUACGUUCCCGGGCCUUGUACACACCGCCCGUCACGUCAUGGGAGUGAAUCGCACCAGAAGUAGCUAGUCUAACCUUCGGGAGGGCGGUUACCACGGUGUGGUUCAUGACUGGGACGAAGUCGGAACAAGGUA